GACGAACGCUGGCGGCGUGCUUAACACAUGCAAGUCGAGCGGUAAGGCUCCUUCGGGAGUACACGAGCGGCGAACGGGUGAGUAACACGUGAGUAACCUGCCCUUCUCAUCGGAAUAAGCGUUGGAAACGACGUCUAAUGCCGAAUACGACUUCGGAAGGCAUCUUCUGAAGUGGAAAGCUCCGGCGGAGAAGGAUGGACUCGCGGCCUAUCAGCUUGUUGGUGAGGUAACGGCUCACCAAGGCGACGACGGGUAGCCGGCCUGAGAGGGUGACCGGCCACACUGGGACUGAGACACGGCCCAGACUCCUACGGGAGGCAGCAGUGGGGAAUAUUGGACAAUGGGCGCAAGCCUGAUCCAGCAACGCCGCGUGAGGGAUGACGGCCUUCGGGUUGUAAACCUCUUUCAGCGGGGACGAAGCGCAAGUGACGGUACCUGCAGAAGAAGGACCGGCCAACUACGUGCCAGCAGCCGCCGUAA
rnacentral:rRNA from 1 species